GACGAACGCUGGCGGCGUGCUUAACACAUGCAAGUCGAACGGAAAGGCCCUGCUUUUGUGGGGUGCUCGAGUGGCGAACGGGUGAGUAACACGUGAGUAACCUGCCCUUGACUUUGGGAUAACUUCAGGAAACUGGGGCUAAUACCGGAUAGGAGCUCCUGCUGCAUGGUGGGGGUUGGAAAGUUUCGGCGGUGGGGGAUGGACUCGCGGCUUAUCAGCUUGUUGGUGGGGUAGUGGCUUACCAAGGCUUUGAAGGGUAGCCGGCCUGAGAGGGUGACCGGCCACAUUGGGACUGAGGUAAGGCCCAGACUGCUAAUGGAGGCAGCAGUGGGGAAUAUUGCAGAAUGGGCGGAAGCCUGAUGCAGCAACGCCGCGUGCGGGAUGACGGCCUUAGGGUUGUAAACCGCUUUCGCCUGUGACGAAGCGUGAGUGACGGUAAUGGGUAAAGAAGCACCGGCUAACUACGUG
rnacentral:rRNA from 1 species